UCUCCGUUGGUGAACCAGCGGAGGGAUCAUUACAGGACUCGCAAGACUCCUACAACCCUGUGAACUUAACUAUAAGCACGUUGCUUCGGCGGGUGUCUCGGAGGGGGUUCUCCCUCCCCGAGACGCUAAACCCGCCGGCAGCCUACUAUACUCUGUCUCUUUGCGUUGACAUCUCGAGUACAAUCAAACAAGUUAAAACUUUCAACAACGGAUCUCUUGGUUCUG
rnacentral:misc_RNA from 1 species